rnacentral:lncRNA from 1 species
CUCUUCAAAUAUAAUGUUAAAAUAUUUUGUAAACAAAUUUUAGACACAAUAAACCACGGCUCUGAUACCACUGAAGGAUUGCUUAAGGGUAUUCGUAACACGCAGCGGAAGACAAUAACAAUCCUAGGUAGAUUUUUCAUGUUUAAAAUUUAUUUACUUGUCAAAGAUCGGAUCUAAGACGUACCUGGUGAAGAGAAUUUCCUUUUUCAAAAUUUCUUUGAUAGUGCGAAGACUCUAUGCGUAUCCACACCGAGACCAAUUCUUGCUAUCAACUCUUUGAUCAAUGAAACCCGGGAACAAAUUGAACGAAGAAUAUUGUGUUGAAUUUUUCUCAAAAAUCUCAACUC